AGCGAACGCUGGCGGCAGGCCUAACACAUGCAAGUCGAACGAACUCUUCGGAGUUAGUGGCGGACGGGUGAGUAACACGUGGGAACGUGCCUUUUGGCUCGGAAUAACUCAGGGAAACUUGUGCUAAUACCGAAUGUGCCCUUCUGGGGAAAGAUUUAACGCCAUUAGAGCGGCCCGCGUGGGAUUAGCUAGUUGGUGAGGUAACGGCGCACCAAGGCGACGCUCAGUAGCUGGUCAGAGAGGAUGACCAGCCACACUGGGACGGGGACACGGCCCAGACUCCUACGGGAGGCAGCAGUGGGGGAUCUUGCGCAAUGGGCGAAAGGCUGACGCAGCCAUGGUGGGUGAAUGAUGUAGGUCUGAGGGUAGUGAAAUUCUUUCACCGGGGACGAUAAUGACGGUACCCGGAGAAGAAGCCCCGGCUAACUUCGUG
rnacentral:rRNA from 1 species